rnacentral:lncRNA from 1 species
UGAUUUCUUUUUUUUUUCGGCUCAGGCGUUUCUUGUAUUGUUUUUUUUUUUCUGUUUUUUUUCUUCUUUUUUUUUUCCGCAGGAUCGACCUCGAUUCCUAUGAUUUGCCCACAACAAGCCUCGGCAGCUCACCGGACAGCACUCCAUAAGUGCACUGACUUAGACUCAACAGUAUGAGUUAUCUCAACCGGUCAAACAACUUGAUCAAGUCCACCGGGUGCCCCUCUUCUGCUUGGGACUUUGUCAUCAUGUCAUCAACAUGGCAUUCGCUUUC